rnacentral:ncRNA from 2 species
AGCUCAUCCAGAGGGACUGAGGGAACGGCCCGUUGACGUCCCGGCAACCUUCUCGCGCGGCUGUCUGUCGACAGGCCCCGGCGGGACAGGUGCCAAUUCCGUCCCGUGUCGCGACCGCGCCACGGGGAAGAUGAGGA